rnacentral:rRNA from 2 species
CGGAAGGAUCAUUACCUAGAGUUGUAGGCUUUGCCUGCUAUCUCUUACCCAUGUCUUUUAAGUACCUUCGUUUCCUCGGCGGGUUCGCCCGCCGAUUGGACAAUUUAAACCAUUUGCAGUUGCAAUCAGCGUCUGAAAAAACUUAAUAGUUACAACUUUCAACAACGGAUCUCUUGGUUCUGGCAUCGAUGAAGAACGCAGCGAAAUGCGAUAAGUAGUGUGAAUUGCAGAAUUCAGUGAAUCAUCGAAUCUUUGAACGCACAUUGCGCCCCUUGGUAUUCCAUGGGGCAUGCCUGUUCGAGCGUCAUUUGUACCUUCAAGCUCUGCUUGGUGUUGGGUGUUUGUCUCGCCUCUGCGUGUAGACUCGCCUCAAAACAAUUGGCAGCCGGCGUAUUGAUUUCGGAGCGCAGUACAUCUCGCGCUUUGCACUCAUAACGACGACGUCCAAAAGUACAUUUUUACACUCUUGACCUCGGAUCAGGUAGGGAUACCCGCUGAACUUAAGCAUAU